AGCGAACGCUGGCGGCAGGCUUAACACAUGCAAGUCGAGCGGGCAUAGCAAUAUGUCAGCGGCAGACGGGUGAGUAACGCGUGGGAACGUACCUUUUGGUUCGGAACAACUGAGGGAAACUUCAGCUAAUACCGGAUAAGCCCUUACGGGGAAAGAUUUAUCGCCGAAAGAUCGGCCCGCGUCUGAUUAGCUAGUUGGUGAGGUAAUGGCUCACCAAGGCGACGAUCAGUAGCUGGUCUGAGAGGAUGAUCAGCCACAUUGGGACUGAGACACGGCCCAAACUCCUACGGGAGGCAGCAGUGGGGAAUAUUGGACAAUGGGCGCAAGCCUGAUCCAGCCAUGCCGCGUGAGUGAUGAAGGCCCUAGGGUUGUAAAGCUCUUUUGUGCGGAAAGAUAAUGACGGUACCGCAAGAAUAAGCCCCGGCUAACUUCGUG
rnacentral:rRNA from 1 species